rnacentral:rRNA from 1 species
GAUGAACGCUGGCGGCGUGCCUAAUACAUGCAAGUAGAACGCUGAAGCUUGGUGCUUGCACCGAGCGGAUGAGUUGCGAACGGGUGAGUAACGCGUAGGUAACCUGCCUCUUAGCGGGGGAUAACUAUUGGAAACGAUAGCUAAUACCGCAUAACAAUGGAUGACACAUGUCAUUUAUUUGAAAGGGGCAAUUGCUCCACUACAAGAUGGACCUGCGUUGUAUUAGCUAGUAGGUGAGGUAACGGCUCACCUAGGCGACGAUACAUAGCCGACCUGAGAGGGUGAUCGGCCACACUGGGACUGAGACACGGCCCAGACUCCUACGGGAGGCAGCAGUAGGGAAUCUUCGGCAAUGGGGGCAACCCUGACCGAGCAACGCCGCGUGAGUGAAGAAGGUUUUCGGAUCGUAAAGCUCUGUUGUAAGUCAAGAACGAGUGUGAGAGUGGAAAGUUCACACUGUGACGGUAGCUUACCAGAAAGGGACGGCUAACUACGUGCCAGCAGCCGCGGUAAUACGUAGGUCCCGAGCGUUGUCCGGAUUUAUUGGGCGUAAAGCGAGCGCAGGCGGUUUGAUAAGUCUGAAGUUAAAGGCUGUGGCUCAACCAUAGUUCGCUUUGGAAACUGUCAAACUUGAGUGCAGAAGGGGAGAGUGGAAUUCCAUGUGUAGCGGUGAAAUGCGUAGAUAUAUGGAGGAACACCGGUGGCGAAAGCGGCUCUCUGGUCUGUAACUGACGCUGAGGCUCGAAAGCGUGGGGAGCGAACAGG